AAAGAAGGAGGACAUAUACACUCUAAGGAUCAGCAGCCGCUUUCAUAGGAGACCCCCCUUGAAGAUUGUUUUCUUCGUCACCCCCUUCAGAUUUUUGUUUUUCUUCUCCUUCACAUUCAAAAAACCCUAGAACUUCAUCUUCUUCAUCCUUUAGCUUGAGCCGCAAUACACCAAGGACCCUCCCCCCCAGCCUUUUCUUCUUCUUCCUCGACUAACCUAGAGAACACAAGGAAAAUCCUAGACUCCAAUGAAGUUGUGCUAUAGCCAUUCCCCAGCCGAAGAGUACACACACUUAGAACUCCCAGCUACACACACCUCUCACACCACCUGGAACUCACCGGAGACAGCAGCAGCUGGAGCCAUCUCUUUACUGCCAGAAUCUGGUGAGGAUAAACCCAGUCGCUUCUUCUGCUUCUUCCCAUUCACGACAUCACACCAGAAACCAGCCUGCUACUCUUCUCGAAAACUCAAGCAAAACAGUUUUAAGACGAGGUUGGUUUGAGGUCAUCGAUGUCCGUUCGAGGCUUAAUCGUCGGUUCGAGGUUCAGGUCAUUAGCUCGCUUUUUGGUUCAUUGUAUCGGAGGCUUCUCUCAUUGUAUACGUUAAAGAAAGCGCAACAAUAAAGGUCCGAUUUUAUUAUUCUUACUCACUCUUAUUGGUACAUUACAUGUGCUUAGUGUUUAAUUUGAGUUUAUUUAAGUGACCUACUGUACAAUUUUGGAAUUAUCUAUAUGUUUGUGUGCUCGUAUUGGUUUUCAUUUUAAGAUUUCUUAGUUUGCGAUUUGAGAAUCUCUUUCUAGUAAUUGAUGAAUGGUUGCCGAAAGUUCUGUGUGAAAUUAGUUCAUGUUGAAUGUCUCAGGAAAGUAUAUUUGAAGUUUGAAUCUAAAGAGUAAUUUUAAAAUAUUGGUAUGACAAUGUGAUUAUCAUUUUUUUAGUUAUCUAGAUUCUUACUAAAUAAACAAGUUCUUUUGCUUCAUUCUGAUUUUGUUGGCUAGUUAUUUAGAAAGAAAGUUUAAAAAUAACACUUUCUAAAAGUUUUGUUACUGAAGAAAUGAAGUAGCAAGCUAGAUCAAAACCUUGUUCUUGUUAAUUUAUAUAACCUCAAAGGUUUUUUUAGGAUAACAAAUUUAUGAAAUAUUGUAGCUUGCUUUAGGCGCAAUUAAUAAUAAAUUAUCAUGGACAUGAGUACGGUUCCCCUGGUAUGGUCAUGAUAUGUAAAUUCCAAAUCCGGGGGUACAUUUAUGUGACCCGACCGCAAUUUAAUCUUAUUAAUAAAAUAAACAUGUUGUAGAUCAUGGGUACGAUUCCCGUAACAUGAUUCGUAAUGUGUAAUCAAAUAAUUAGCUGUAUGAUAAUCGCGAAUUUUUAAAAGUGGUAGGAGGAAUAAAAUGCACAAUAAGUUUAAAAUAUGUAGUUAAUCAGAUAAUUAGGCCAAUAAUAAUAGUUGAGAGACCGUGCUAAAACCACGGAACCCGGGAAUGCCUAACACCUUCUCUCGGGUUAACAGAAUUCCUUACCCGGAUUUCUGUGUUCGCAGACCAUAAAUAAGAGUCAAACUUCCUCGAUUCGAGAUUUUAAACCGGUGACUUAGGACACCAUAAAUUAUCUCAAGUGGCAACUAUGAUUUUAAUAUGAAUAAUCCCGUUUCGAUUGUCACUUAAAUUGGAAAACACUCCCUUAUACCCUUCUGGGUAGUAAAUAGGAGGUGUGACACCCAUGUUAUAUCAUGUUUUGGCUAGAUUUUAAGCUUCCUUAUGCCUUGUUUUGACACAUGUGCUAAACAUGCUUUAUUUGUUUGUUGGACUACUUGAGCAUUUAUUAUUCAUGAUAGAAUUUAUGUAUAGGGUUUUGGUACCUUAUCUAGAAAUGAUGGGCUAUUUGAAUGUUGGAUUAUAUGUCGUAGCCAUAGUCAUACACUGUACACAUGCGUACACCCUGCAUGUUUAUCUCUCUUAUCCAUAGAUACUCUUAUCUAUUUUACAUAUGCAUGUAUCCCUGUAUAUGGUUCUCUUAUAUGGACUGAGGUUAUGUUAUGUGAGCUGUCCAUGUAGAUUGAUAUGUUUAUGGCAUACGAGUUGUUUGUGUGGAUUGAGGUGAUUAUUUAUGAUUGAUUAUUGAUCUAUUAUUCUUGGAUAUAGCGUGUGAAUAUGAAUUUAUUCCUCAUGAGUCACCCUCUCACGUUUCUUUCUUAUUGGCAUACACAAGGUUCAACAUAUGGAGUAUCGGGGCACAAAAAGUACUUGUUGUUAUAAAGUUUGAGUCAUUAUCAUGCAUAAACAUUCUAGACUCAUUUGGAAGUAUUCAUAUAAAUUCUAAUUAUUGCAUAUAUUCUAUAUAUGCGGAUCUGGUCCCUUGAUUUUUUUAUUUUGAUCACUUUGUCUGAGAAAUCAUGCUUAUUAUCUCCUACUUUAACUGUGUUUUUCUCGUACAUUGUUUCUUGGUUACUUCUCAAUUAUUGUGUAUACUUAUGAACUGAACAGGUUAUAAAAAGUGAGUAUCAUUUCUUAAAAACUUUUCUCUACCUUAUUGGGCUUAGAUUUGAUACCUAUUGAGUACACAUUAUCUUUAUGUACUUAUACUAUACUUCUAUAUAUUUUUGUACAAAUCCUGACAUUGGUCCUGGCGAUGUUUAGGAGGGAGCGUAGGAGCGUGCUGGAGACUUCUUGGUGAGCUGUUGUGCUUGGAUUUAUAGCUUAUGGAGCCUCUCUCUAUCUUAUCUAUUAUUUCUUGUUCUAGAUAGUAUUUUGUAUUUUGAGGCUGUUGUAUUUCGUUUAGCGGCUCAUGACUUGUACUACUGGUCCUUGGGGGUUGAUAUAGUAUUUCACACUUGAUGUUGAUGCUUGACUUAUUUCUGCACUUAUACAUUAUUUUUUUAAUGGUUAUUUGUGUGUGUUGGUUCAUCUAAUGGGUUGGGUUAGUUACUAUCGUGGCCAUGGGAGAUUUUGGGUCGUGAUAAGUUGGUAUCAAAGCUCUAGAUUCAUGGGUUCUACGAGUCAUAGACAUGUUUAGUAGAGUCAUGCGAAUCAGUAGGUAGACAUCUAUACUUAUCUGUGAAGGGAUACAACAAAUUAAGGAAACUUGCAUUUCUUUCUCUCAUCAUCAUGCAACCUUGUUUCAUAUUGAUGUUUGAACCUUUACUCUUCUAUUCUCUUGUAGAUGGUGAGGACACAUGCAUCGGCAGCUACUGAGCAAGAGCUAAUAUCCCAAGUUAGAGCUUGGAAAGGUGAGGGUUGGGGUAGAGCUGAAGCUUAGACCAAACACACACAAUGGAACCCGCACGAGGUAGAGCACCCAUUGAUGCUCAUUGUCGUACUAGAGAUAAUCUAGUUGAGCUGCCUGCAUCUCCAGAGGUAGAUUAGGUCCUAGAUCAGAUUGCUCUGCCGGGUCCAGCACAUGUUUCUAAAGGCUUUAUUGCUACUCCAGUGCUUUAGGAGACUAUGGUCUGAUUGUUAGUUUCUUUGGGAGCAUGUGACAUGCAAGGAUGAUACAUAUGGUCUUAGCUACUUCACAAGCUGGAGGGAGAGCCUAGACCCCAGCUAGUUAUACCCUGGAGCAGGUCACUAUUAAUUUUUAGACUCCAGGAGUUUCAUCAGUUGGGGUAGUUUAGCCUAUAGUUGCACCACGGCCAGAGGCUAGUCCCGCUACGACUGUGGAGGAGCCGAAGAUGAUGGAUCAAUUCAAGAAGUUAUAUCAUCCACGUUUUGAUGGUGAUCACACAGUUUAUGCUCAAGAUUGCUUAUGAGCCGAGUAGGCUAGCAGGUUCACAUCCUCUCACUUGCACUCAAUUGUUGACUCUCUUCUUGGGUAAGUUCAUUUCACUCACUAGGAGGAAUGAGUUGCCUAGAAAGUUUGAGCACCUGCAGCAAGAUCAUGUGUCUUUUAUUGAGUAUGAGAUGAGCUUUACUCAAUUAUCUUACUAUGUAGCUUUCUUGAUUCCCACCAGGGCAAAAAAGGUGACGAGAUUUAUUGAGGGUCUCCAUUUUGGUAUUCGAUCUAGGAUGGCACGAGAGACUGAAACCAGGAAUACCUUUACUUAAGGGUGGAGAUGGCUAGAGCAUGGAGCUCAUUUGUAGGCAUGAGAAGGAGGAGCGUGACACAAAGAAGCCUCUCGAUACUAGUAGAUUUAGUGGUGCCUCAUCUGGAGGCAAGGGCAAUUACGAUAGAGGCCAUUGUAGUAGGUGUCGCACCCCAUUUUCUUGCGAAAGUAAGUUUUGACAUGUGACAACUCUUUUAAAUGGGUAUUAAAAGAGAGACUUGCCACCUAAUGAUUUUAAGGUGCAUUAGGGCACCUUUUUGUGAAUAACUCUAUUUUAACUAGUAUGUGUUGCCAAAGAUUGGGUAAGGACUCAAAUUACUUCGAAAAGAAGGUGUUCAGCACUCUUUGAGAUCCACAACUGUGGUUCCCG
rnacentral:lncRNA from 1 species